AUAUCAAUAAGCGGAGGAAAAGAAACCAACAGGGAUUGCCCUAGUAACGGCGAGUGAAGCGGCAACAGCUCAAAUUUGAAAUCUGGCUCUCUUUGGGGGUCCGAGUUGUAAUUUGCAGAGGAUGCUUUGGCAUUGGCGGCGGUCUAAGUUCCUUGGAACAGGACAUCACAGAGGGUGAGAAUCCCGUACGUGGUCGCCUGCCUUUGCCGUGUAAAGCUCCUUCGACGAGUCGAGUUGUUUGGGAAUGCAGCUCUAAAUGGGAGGUAAAUUUCUUCUAAAGCUAAAUACUGGCCAGAGACCGAUAGCGCACAAGUAGAGUGAUCGAAAGAUGAAAAGUACUUUGGAAAGAGAGUCAAAAAGCACGUGAAAUUGUUGAAAGGGAAGCGCUUGCAGCCAGACUUGCCCGCAGUUGCUCACCUAGGCUUUGGCCUGGGGCACUCUUCUGCGGGCAGGCCAGCAUCAGUUUGGGCGGUUGGAUAAAGGCCUCUGUCACGUAUCUCCCUUCGGGGUGACCUUAUAGGGGAGGCGCAAUGCAACCAGCCCGGACUGAGGUCCGCGCAUCUGCUAGGAUGCUGGCGUAAUGGCUGUAAGCGGCCCGUCUUGAAACACGGACCAAGGAGUCUAACAUCUAUGCGAGUGUUUGGGUGUCAAGCCCGAGCGCGCAAUGAAAGUGAACGGAGGUGGGAACCCUUUGGGUGCACCAUCGACCGAUCCUGAUGUCUUCGGAUGGAUUUGAGUAAGAGCAUAGCUGUUGGGACCCGAAAGAUGGUGAACUAUGCUUGAAUAGGGUGAAGCCAGAGGAAACUCUGGUGGAGGCUCGCAGCGGUUCUGACGUGCAAAUCGAUCGUCAAAUUUGGGCAUAGGGGCGAAAGACUAAUCGAACCAUCUAGUAGCUGGUCCUGCAA
rnacentral:rRNA from 1 species